GCGGUAGCCUGCGAAAAGCUACGGGGAGCUGGCAAACGAGCUUUGAUCCGUAGAUGUCCGAAUGGGGAAACCCGGCCCUUUUGGGUCAUCCUAGACUGAAUACAUAGGUCUAGUGAAGCGAACGCGGUGAACUGAAACUCCAAGGCUAAAUACUCGUGAUCGACCGAUAGUGAACCAGUACCGUGAGGGAAAGGCGAAAAGAACCCCGGGAGGGGAGUGAAAUAGAUCCUGAAACCGCAUGCAUACAAACAGUCGGAGCCUCUUCGGGGGUGACGGCGUACCUUUUGUAUAAUGGGUCAGCGACUUACGUUCAGUAGCAAGCUUAACCGAAUAGGGCAGGCGUAGCGAAAGCGAGUCCGAAUAGGGCGUUCAGUUGCUGGGCGUAGACCCGAAACCAGGUGAUCUAUCCAUGGCCAGGAUGAAGGUGCGGUAACACGUACUGGAGGUCCGAACCCACUAACGUUGAAAAGUUAGGGGAUGAGCUGUGGAUAGGGGUGAAAGGCUAAACAAACCUGGAAAUAGCUGGUUCUCUCCGAAAACUAUUUAGGUAGUGCCUCGUGUCUCACCUUCGGGGGUAGAGCACUGUCAUGGUUGGGGGGUCUAUUGCAGAUUACCCCGCCAUAGCAAACUCCGAAUACCGAAGAGUGCAAUCACGGGAGACAGACAUCGGGUGCUAACGUCCGGUGUCAAGAGGGAAACAACCCAGACCGCCAGCUAAGGUCCCCAAAUAUGGCUAAGUGGGAAACGAAGUGGGAAGGCUAAAACAGUCAGGAGGUUGGCUUAGAAGCAGCCACCCUUUAAAGAAAGCGUAAUAGCUCACUGAUCGAGUCGUCCUGCGCGGAAGAUGUAACGGGGCUAAGCCAUAUACCGAAGCUGCGGAUGCGAGCUAGUCUCGCAUGGUAGGAGAGCGUUCCGUAAGCCUGCGAAGGUGCGUUGAAAAGCGUGCUGGAGGUAUCGGAAGUGCGAAUGCUGACAUGAGUAGCGAUAAAGGGGGUGAAAGGCCCCCUCGCCGUAAGCCCAAGGUUUCCUACGCAACGUUCAUCGGCGUAGGGUGAGUCGGCCCCUAAGGCGAGGCAGAAAUGCGUAGCUGAUGGGAAGCAGGUCAAUAUUCCUGCACCAUUGUUAGAUGCGAUGGGGGGACGGAUCGCGGAAGGUUGUCCGGGUGUUGGAAGUCCCGGUCGCUGCAUUGGAGAAGGCGGAUUCAAGGGUGUGGCGCGAGCUCCUUCGGGAGCGAAGCAAUUGGAAGUGGUUCCAAGAAAAGCCUCUAAGCUUCAGUCUAACGAUGACCGUACCGCAAACCGACACAGGUGGGCGAGAUGAGUAUUCUAAGGCGCUUGAGAGAACUCGGGAGAAGGAACUCGGCAAAUUGGUACCGUAACUUCGGGAUAAGGUACGCCCUGGUAGCUUGACUGGCCUGCGCCAGAAGGGUGAAGGGGUUGCAAUAAACUGGUGGCUGCGACUGUUUAAUAAAAACACAGCACUCUGCAAACACGAAAGUGGACGUAUAGGGUGUGACGCCUGCCCGGUGCCGGAAGAUUAAAUGAUGGGGUGCAAGCUCUUGAUUGAAGUCCCGGUAAACGGCGGCCGUAACUAUAACGGUCCUAAGGUAGCGAAAUUCCUUGUCGGGUAAGUUCCGACCUGGCCACACUGUCUCCUCCCGAGACUCAGCGAAGUUGAAGUGUUUGUGAUGAUGCAAUCUACCCGCGGCUAGACGGAAAGACCCCAUGAACCUUUACUGUAGCUUUGCAUUGGACUUUGAACCGAUCUGUGUAGGAUAGGUGGGAGGCUAUGAAACCGGAACGCUAGUUUCGGUGGAGCCGUCCUUGAAAUACCACCCUGGUUUGUUUGAGGUUCUAACCUUGGCCCGUGAUCCGGGUCGGGGACAGUGCAUGGUAGGCAGUUUGACUGGGGCGGUCUCCUCCCAAAGCGUAACGGAGGAGUACGAAGGUACGCUAGGUACGGUCGGAAAUCGUGCUGAUAGUGCAAUGGCAUAAGCGUGCUUAACUGCGAGACCGACAAGUCGAGCAGGUGCGAAAGCAGGUCAUAGUGAUCCGGUGGUUCUGUAUGGAAGGGCCAUCGCUCAACGGAUAAAAGGUACUCUGGGGAUAACAGGCUGAUACCGCCCAAGAGUUCAUAUCGACGGCGGUGUUUGGCACCUCGAUGUCGGCUCAUCUCAUCCUGGGGCUGUAGCCGGUCCCAAGGGUAUGGCUGUUCGCCAUUUAAAGAGGUACGUGAGCUGGGUUUAAAACGUCGUGAGACAGUUUGGUCCCUAUCUGCCGUGGGCGUUGGAAGUUUGAAGGGGGCUGCUCCUAGUACGAGAGGACCGGAGUGGACGAACCUCUGGUGUACCGGUUGUGACGCCAGUCGCAUCGCCGGGUAGCUAUGUUCGGAAGAGAUAACCGCUGAAAGCAUCUAAGCGGGAAACUCGCCUUAAGAUGAGACUUCCCCGGGGACUUGAUCCCCUUGAAGGGUCGUUCGAGACCAGGACGUUGAUAGGUCGGGUGUGUAAGCGCAGUAAUGCGUUCAGCUAACCGAUACUAAUUGCCCGUACGGCUUGAUCCUAUAACA
rnacentral:rRNA from 1 species